GUGGGGAAUUUUGGACAAUGGGCGCAAGCCUGAUCCAGCAAUGCCGCGUGCAGGAAGAAGGCCUUCGGGUUGUAAACUGCUUUUGUACGGAACGAAACGGUCCGGGUUAAUACCCUGGGCUAAUGACGGUACCGUAAGAAUAAGCACCGGCUAACUACGUGCCAGCAGCCGCGGUAAUACGUAGGGUGCAAGCGUUAAUCGGAAUUACUGGGCGUAAAGCGUGCGCAGGCGGUUUUGCAAGACAGAUGUGAAAUCCCCGGGCUCAACCUGGGAACUGCAUUUGUGACUGCAAGGCUAGAGUACGGAAGAGGGGGAUGGAAUUCCGCGUGUAGCAGUGAAAUGCGUAGAUAUGCGGAGGAACACCAAUGGCGAAGGCAAUCCCCUGGGCCUGUACUGACGCUCAUGCACGAAAGCGUGGGGAGCAAACAGGAUUAGAUACCCUGGUAGUCC
rnacentral:rRNA from 1 species